GUUGAAUUCAAGGAGGUUCUUGAUGACACAGCAGUAGCAGUGACGUUUUUGUUAUCUUUUUUUUAGUUGAAUAUGAGAUGCUUUGGGCCUUAUGCUUGAUUUGGAAGGGAAUGAUAUUGAUGAAAGUGAAAAUGGUAGGAAAUUACAGUGAUGUUAUUUAGCAAAGGGCAAAUUGCAGGAAUUACAAAUAGCAACAGUGAGAUAUCUCAUUAUUAUCCCACCAACAAUACAUCAUGCCUUGAUUGUGAGAAAACUUUAAUUGAAGGGAAUUAAACAACUUACGAAUCGAUAUACAAAAAUAGGAUUUCACAUGCCACACGACAUUAUAAGGUUCAUAUUUUCAGGACAUUUUAGGCAUAAAGUUACGAAAAUAGAAGCAUUAUAAAUUCUUAUGUUCUUUAAGAUUAAUGAUAGAUAAUUUCAGGGAAGAUAGACAAUUUAGUGUCUUCAUUAAUUGUAUAAGGAAAUUUCUGACAGCUCAUGAUCGUAAUAGUGGAAUCAUGUAAGUAAUAUUCACUAUUCACCAUAAUCCUUAUUCUUUUUUUUUUUUUUUUUUUUUUCCUUUUACUUUUUAAUUUGAAUUUUUUGUUGUUUGUAACCAUGGGUUAUAAUUUAUUUUCAUUAUUUAAAUUUAAGACAUUGUGUUGAUUGUGGGAAAGUAUUGUUUGAAGAUAAAACUAUUAAGAAUGCUACAAUAGGGGUAAGGUUUCUAAAAGUAGCCUCUUCACAUAUGAUUCAUUUUAAUACUUUUUACUAUUUGAAUUUAAUUUAAUUAUUUUUUUUAAAAAUAAUUUGUAUUCUUUUUUUAACUAGAAAGACAAAAGACCGAAACUUGCUCAAACUAAAAAGAAGGUUUGUCACAACAGAACGUGUUACAAUGGAUGCUGGUGAAAGAUACAAUAGAUGCUGGUAAAAUGUUGAUGGCUUGUAUGGGUAAUCGUUCUUCUCUCCUUCUCUAUCUAGAGAGAGAGAGUGAGUGAGUGAGAACAGAACAUGUUACAAUGGAUGCUGGUGAAAGAUACAAAUUAUGAUGCAAAGUAUAUGCAAUAUACAAAUUAUGAGGUUAGUCCCAUGUGACUUUUAUGACGCAAAGUAUAUGACAGGUACAAAUUAUGGUAAUUUGUUUCUGUCUUUUCAGGAGACUAACUAUGCUCCAAUUAAAUAUGGGAGUCGUGUUGUACUUAUGAUUAACGGGUAUGCAAUGUAAUCUCUCUUGCUUAGUUGCUUCUUUCCCUUUGAUAAGUGGGAUCUUACCCUAGCCUAUGUUAACAUUUUAA